rfam:Pyrobaculum arsenaticum DSM 13514, complete genome.
GGGUGGGGGGCUCAGAGCGGCCCAGAGGGCCCCGGUGAGAGGGCCCCCUGCCGCGGGGUUCACACA